UACGUAGGGAGCAAGCGUUGUCCGGAAUCAUUGGGCGUAAAGCGCGCGUAGGUGGCCUCAUAAGUCCGCUGUGAAAGUCAAAGGCUCAACCUUUGAAAGCCGGUGGAUACUGUGAGGCUAGAGUACGGAAGAGGCGAGUGGAAUUCCUGGUGUAGCGGUGGAAUGCGCAGAUAUCAGGAGGAACACCAAUAGCGAAGGCAGCUCGCUGGGACGUUACUGACACUGAGGCGCGAAAGCGUGGGGAGCGAACAG
rnacentral:rRNA from 1 species